UACGAAGGAUCCAAGCGUUAUCCGGAUUUAUUGGGCUUAAAGGGUGCGUAGGCGGACUAUUAAGUCAGUGGUGAAAGCCCCAGGCUCAACCUGGGAAUUGCCAUUGAUACUGAUGGUCUUGAGUACACUUGAAGUGGGCGGAAUGUGUCAUGUAGCGGUGAAAUGCUUAGAUAUGACAUAGAACACCAAUUGCGAAGGCAGCUCGUUACACGAAUAUUGACACUCAGGCACGAAAGCGUGGGGAUCAAACAGG
rnacentral:rRNA from 1 species